UACGUAGGGGGCAAGCGUUGUCCGGAUUCAUUGGGCGUAAAGAGCGUGUAGGCGGCCAGGUAGGUCCGUUGUGAAAACUCGAGGCUCAACCUCGAGACGUCGAUGGAAACCAUCUGGCUAGAGUCCGGAAGAGGAGAGUGGAAUUCCUGGUGUAGCGGUGAAAUGCGCAGAUAUCAGGAAGAACACCUAUGGCGAAGGCAGCUCUCUGGGACGGUACUGACGCUGAGACGCGAAAGCGUGGGGAGCGAACAGGAUUAGAUACCCUGGUAGUCCACGCCGUAAACGAUGGGAACUAGGUGUGGGCGGUGUCGACUCCGUCCGUGCCGAAGCUAACGCAUUAAGUUCCCCGCCUGGGGAGUACGGCCGCAAGGCUAAA
rnacentral:rRNA from 1 species